rnacentral:rRNA from 1 species
UAGGGAAUCUUCGGCAAUGGACGAAAGUCUGACCGAGCAACGCCGCGUGAGUGAAGAAGGUUUUCGGAUCGUAAAACUCUGUUGGUAAGAGAAGAACGUUGGUGAGAGUGGAAAGCUCAUCAAGUGACGGUAACUACCCAGAAAGGGACGGCUAACUACGUGCCAC